rnacentral:lncRNA from 1 species
GGUCUUUAAAUAUGUAUUUAUUAACAUACAAAUAUAUGUAGUAACUAGUAUAUAUUCCCAGGUCAUAGAGCACAAUUAACUGAUUGGGAAAAUAGAAAUGAUACAGAGUUUUCUAGCAUAUGUCAAUGAAGUUAAAAGUAGAAAUCAAUACACGGAAAAUAGCUGGAAAGUCCUUAAGUUUUGGUAUCGUCAAUAUCAUACUGCUAUAUAACAUAUAAGAUGAAGAUCAAAUUUCAUAAUUAAAAUAUUUGAGAUAUUGAAAUAUUGAAAAUAAAAAUAAGCACCAAAUUUGUAAUACAGCAAAAGCAGUCUUGAAAGGAGAGGUGAGUGUUUAAUUUAUAUGUAAUAAAAGAAGAAAAUGAGAAAGGGGCUCUUGUACACUGCUAGAAGAAACAUGAACUACUACAGCCACCAUGGAUUUCACCACAGUGGGAUUUCACAACACUGAAAACUACCACGUGAUCAAGCAGUUGCAAUGCUGGCAAAGGAAAUGAAUAUCAAAGUAACAUUCUCCUCCCUUGCUCAUUACAUUAGUCUGAUCCAACAAGAAGUCUACUAUCAGGUUGCACCCUUCAGAUGAAGGUGAAGGGGCACGGGCAUCUGUGAACAUCAGCAAGAAAGUGCCGACUACCCUUGCAGGUGUCCAUCGCAAUGCCUGCCCUGCCCGAGAUGGGUGUUGAUGAGAAACGCCGAGGACAAAGCUUCUCCAAGAUCUUCCCCACCUGCCCUCCCAUCUGGAUCGACACCCUUUCUGUCUCCAUUAGAAAACACAUAGGCAGCAGGUGAUGAUGGCGCACACCUUUAAUCCCAGCACUCAGGAGGCAGAGCCAGGCGGAUCUCUGUGAGUAGUAGCCCAGCCUGGUCUACUGAGCAAGUUCCAGAAAAGGUUCCAAAGCAUCACAGAGAAACCCUGUCUUGAAAACCAACCAACCAAACAACAACACAAAAGGAAAGAAAAGAAAAAAGAAAACAAAUAGCCACCGAAAGAACAACAAUAAAAUAUAAAAUAAGAAAAGAGUUAUAAUUUCAGAUAGUUAUUUUGAGGGAAAAUAUUUGCUGUGGAGUGUGAAAUUUUAAAAAUAAAAUUACAUACGAUCUGUUAAUCAAUUUAAAUGCAUUCCCUGUGAACUUUGUCUUUCAC